CCUACGGGAGGCAGCAGUGGGGAAUAUUGGACAAUGGGCGAAAGCCUGAUCCAGCAAUGCCGCGUGAGUGAUGAAGGCCUUAGGGUUGUAAAGCUCUUUUACCAGGGAUGAUAAUGACAGUACCUGGAGAAUAAGCUCCGGCUAACUCCGUGCCAGCAGCCGCGGUAAUACGGAGGGAGCUAGCGUUGUUCGGAAUUACUGGGCGUAAAGCGUACGUAGGCGGUUAUUCAAGUCAGAGGUGAAAGCCCGGGGCUCAACCCCGGAACGGCCUUUGAAACUAGAUAGCUAGAAUCUUGGAGAGGUUAGUGGAAUUCCGAGUGUAGAGGUGAAAUUCGUAGAUAUUCGGAAGAACACCAGUGGCGAAGGCGACUAACUGGACAAGUAUUGACGCUGAGGUACGAAAGCGUGGGGAGCAAACAGGAUUAGAUACCCUGGUAGUCCACGCCGUAAACGAUGAUAACUAGCUGUUCGGGCACUUGGUGCUUGAGUGGCGCAGCUACGACAUUAAGUUAUCCGUCCGUCGGGUAGGUACGGUCGCGAAGAAUUAAAACGUUAAAAGGUAAAGUUAGUACGGCGUGAGACGUGCCGAACGACGACGACGAGGGAGGUAGG
rnacentral:rRNA from 1 species